AACAGGAUUAGAUACCCUGGUAGUCCACGCCGUAAACGAUGUCGACUUGGAGGCUGUUCCCUUGAGGAGUGGCUUCCGGAGCUAACACGUUAAGUCGACCGCCUGGGGAGUACGGCCGCAAGGUUAAAACUCAAAUGAAUUGACGGGGGCCCGCACAAGCGGUGGAGCAUGUGGUUUAAUUCGAUGCAACGCGAAGAACCUUACCUACUCUUGACAUCCAGAGAAUUUAGCAGAGAUGCUUUAGUGCCUUCGGGAACUCUGAGACAGGUGCUGCAUGGCUGUCGUCAGCUCGUGUUGUGAAAUGUUGGGUUAAGUCCCGCAACGAGCGCAACCCUUAUCCUUUGUUGCCAGCGCGUAAUGGUGGGAACUCAAAGGAGACUGCCGGUGAUAAACCGGAGGAAGGUGGGGAUGACGUCAAGUCAUCAUGGCCCUUACGAGUAGGGCUACACACGUGCUACAAUGGCGCAUACAAAGAGAAGCGACCUCGCGAGAGCAAGCGGACCUCAUAAAGUGCGUCGUAGUUCGGAUUGGAGUCUGCAACUCGACUCCAUGAAGUCGGAAUCGCUAGUAAUCGUAAAUCAGAAUGUUACGGUGAAUACGUUCCCGGGCCUUGUACACACCGCCCGUCACACCAUGGGAGUGGGUUUUACCAGAAGUAGGUAGCUUAACCGCAGGGAGGGCGCUUACCACGGUAGGAUUCGUGACUGGGGUGAAGUCGUAACAAGGUAGCCGUAUCGGAAGGUGCGGCUGGAUCACCUCCUU
rnacentral:rRNA from 1 species